UACGUAGGGUGCGAGCGUUAAUCGGAAUUACUGGGCGUAAAGCGUGCGCAAGCGGUUCGUGAUGUCUGGUGUGAAAGCCCCGGGCUUAACCUGGGAAUUGCAUUGGAAACUAGCGGGCUGGAGUGUGGCAGAGGGGGGUGGAAUUCCACGUGUAGCAGUGAAAUGCGUAGAGAUGUGGAGGAACACCGAUGGCGAAGGCAGCCCCCUGGGCUAACACUGACGCUCAUGCACGAAAGCGUGGGGAGCAAACAGG
rnacentral:rRNA from 1 species